rnacentral:misc_RNA from 1 species
CAGAUCGAGCAGCGAGCGACACUCUGCAAUCCAGCCUCAAAAUAUCGCAGUUGCUACUAGUUUUUUGAUCGGAGAAACAAAAGACAUAAAUAAGAACAGAAAUACAGAAUAUGAUAACUCGGUCUAAACUCGUUGAGCAACUCAGGGAUUACCAGAUCCGAUCGCAGCACAAGUGUCCUGCUCUAACUAUCUUCUCUCCCAAACCCCACAUCACUUCUUGGGUUGAUGUUGCUGUGGCAAUCUUCUGGGCAUUCGUGUUUAGCAUGCUUGUCAUAUCAUCUUUUGUGACCCUCUAUUUCAGGCACUUUUGGCUUUCUUUUCUCAUAAUCUGCCUUGGGAUUUUUCUU